rnacentral:rRNA from 1 species
UACGUAGGGGGCAAGCGUUGUCCGGAUUUAUUGGGCGUAAAGCGCUCGCAGGUGGUUCGAUGCGUCGGGCGUGAAAGACCCCGGCUCAACUGGGGAGGGUCGUGCGAUACGGUCGAACUGGAGGCCAGUAGGGGGAUGCGGAAUUCCGGGUGUAGUGGUGGAAUGCGUAGAGAUCCGGAGGAACACCAGCGGCGAAGGCGGCAUCCUGGACUGGUCCUGACACUCAUGAGCGAAAGCGUGGGGAGCGAUCCGG